GAUGAACGCUGGCGGCGUGCCUAAUACAUGCAAGUCGAGCGAACAGACGAGGAGCUUGCUCCUCUGACGUUAGCGGCGGACGGGUGAGUAACACGUGGAUAACCUACCUAUAAGACUGGGAUAACUUCGGGAAACCGGAGCUUAUACCGGAUAAUAUAUUGAACCGCAUGGUUCAAUAGUGAAAGACGGUUUUGCUGUCACUUAUAGAUGGAUCCGCGCCGCAUUAGCUAGUUGGUAAGGUCACGGCUUACCAAGGCAACGAUGCGUAGCCGACCUGAGAGGGUGGUCGGCCACACUGGAACUGAGACACGGUCCAGACUCCUACGGGAGGCAGCAGUAGGGAAUCUUCCGCAAUGGGCGAAAGCUUGACGGAGCAACGCCGCGUGAGUGAUGAAGGUCUUCGGAUCGUAAAACUCUGUUAUUAGGGAAGAACAAAUGUGUAAGUAACUAUGCACGUCUUGACGGUACCUGAUCAGAAAGCCACGGCUAACUACGUG
rnacentral:rRNA from 1 species